AUUGAACGCUGGCGGCAGGCCUAACACAUGCAAGUCGAGCGGAUGAAGGGAGCUUGCUCCUGGAUGCAGCGGCGGACGGGUGAGUAAGGCCUAGGAAUCUGCCUUGUAUUGGGGGAUAACGUCCGGAAACGGGCGCUAAUACCGCAUACGUCCUUAGUGAGAAAGGGGGGGAUCUUCGGACCUCACGCUAUCAGAUGAGCCUAGGUCGGAUUAGCUAGUUGGUUGGGUAAAGGCCUACCAAGGCGACGAUCCGUAACUGGUCUGAGAGGAUGAUCAGUCACACUGGAACUGAGACACGGUCCAGACUCCUACGGGAGGCAGCAGUGGGGAAUAUUGGACAAUGGGCGAAAGCCUGAUCCAGCAAUGCCGCGUGUGUGAAGAAGGUCUUCGGAUUGUAAAGCACUUUAAGUUGGGAGGAAGGGAAGUAAGUUAAUACCUUGCUGUUUUGACGUUACCAACAGAAUAAGCACCGGCUAACUUCGUG
rnacentral:rRNA from 1 species